GCUUUUUCUAUUUCUGCUUUUGAAAUCAAAUUAUCAAGUUCAGUAAAUAUUUUUUCUCUUUCCAUGUCUUUUAUCUUAUCUUUUAAAUAAUCACAGGAUGCAUUAGUGUCUUUUUCAUUUAAAUUUUUAAAAUAAGAAAACCAAGCAUCAGUUGACACAUCAGAUGUGGUAUUCUCCCUAUUUGUAUCUGAUAACUCAUGAAGCAGUGCCCAAUAUUGAC
rnacentral:lncRNA from 1 species